GCAUGGGUAGUUCAGUGGUAGAAUUCUCACCUGCCAUGUGGGAGGCCCAGGUUCUAUUCCCGGCCCAUGCA